rnacentral:antisense_RNA from 1 species
UGUGGGAGCGAGCUUGCUCGCGAUAGCGGUGUAUCAGUCCAUAUGGCGUGCGACUGACUGACGCUAUCGCGAGCAAGCUCGCUCCCACA